rnacentral:rRNA from 1 species
GACGAACGCCGGCGGCGUGCUUAACACAUGCAAGUCGAACGGAAAGGCUCCAGCUUGCUGGAGUACUCGAGUGGCGAACGGGUGAGUAACACGUGGGUAAUCUGCCCUGCACUCUGGGAUAAGCCUGGGAAACUGGGUCUAAUACUGGACAUGACCUUUCUCCUUAUGGGGUUUGGUGGAAAGUUUUUCGGUGUAGGAUGAGCCCGCGGCCUAUCAGCUUGUUGGUGGGGUGAUGGCCUACCAAGGCGACGACGGGUAGCCGGCCUGAGAGGGUGAUCGGCCACAUUGGGACUGAGAUACGGCCCAGACUCCUACGGGAGGCAGCAGUGGGGAAUAUUGCACAAUGGGCGGAAGCCUGAUGCAGCGACGCCGCGUGAGGGAUGACGGCCUUCGGGUUGUAAACCUCUUUCAGCAGGGACGAAGCGUAAGUGACGGUACCUGCAGAAGAAGCACCGGCUAACUACGUGCCAGCAGCCGCCGUAA